CAAAAUAUUGCGUCAUCAGCAAGAUGGCGGACGAGCGUCGUCUACUCCUUCGUUGCUGAUACUUGAUGAUUAAUGGACUUUUAUUUCUCUCAGGAAAAGCAUUUUUAACGAGGUCGGGAUGUUUCGGCGCUCGAGAUUCAGCGUUCGUCCUAAUGUGGGCGGACCUGGAAGGACGGGAGCCGCGCCGCAGGAAGCCACUCCAGGGGGUAAGGAGGCCAGCCAGGCACUCAAAGCCAUCAGUGAGGGUGCGCGUUUAUCCACAGUGGAUGACAGCAAGCCUGGUGACACUCCUGCGGCUGCACCUACUGCCUUAGGCGAUGGAAACGAGCCAAGUGGGGAAGCCUCGUCAGCUGCCGUCCAGAGGAGGAAGCGCUUCUCUGUCAAGCCCAGGGUGGCCCCGGGUCGACCCUCCAUCGUCCCUCGAGUGCCCAAGUCCCCCGCCAAGUUGGUCCCUGAGAGUCCGGCGAAGGUCUCAGAACUUGAGUCGACAACAUCAAAUGAAGUUAAAAGUCCAGCAGCCACACCCCAGGCCCCAUCUUCCCCGAUGCCCACGGCAGACAGCAAGCUACCUCACGUGCAACCCACCUUUGCCCCGCCUGAGGGGUGUGCUGACGCCCUAAAAGAAGCCCCCCCGCUGCCAGACCUUGGCAAACAGACAGAGAAGAGCACUAACAGUUCCAUAAAGGUUCCUCACAGACCGCUGGAUAAAGUUUCUCUGCCAGACAGAGAGGCUGCUGAACUGUCAGAGAAGGCCAAGACUCUUCUGUCGUCCAAGGGCAAGAAGUCCAUUGCCAGAUUCUCCCUGAGCCGACUUUUAAACGACCCCUCGGAUAUUCAGAGGCUGGAAAAUGCUGAGAAGCUACGGGAUCUGCUCAGACAGGAGAUGCGGAAAGAAAAAGGUAUCAAGAAGCGGAAGAAGCCCGUAAAGGAAUUUAGUGUGGAUCCUACCAAAAUGACUAUGAGGGACCUCAUCCGGUACUUACCGCUGUCCAACCCCAUGUCAUCCAGUUUAGAGGACGACACUGAGCAAAACGAGACCGUGACUCCGUUUACUCCAAGAAUGGAAAUACUGCCAGAGAGAGCGCAGGAACCGGAAGCAGAAGUUGUCCCCGCGGUGGUGGACCAAACGGAGGAGGAAGAGCAGGACGUUGAGGGGACGGGCCAGGGGGACGAGGACGACGACGACGCACUGAUGGUUCCGCAGGUCAAAGUUGCAGAAGAUGGAACCCUGAUCCUGGACGAGGAGAGUUUGACUGUGGAGGUCCAGAGAGCCAAAGGACCCAACCCGGCAGAGGACAGAGACCCCAUCUUUGAACGCGGCUCCACCACCACGUACUCCAGUUUCAGGGCCUCCACCUACUGCAAGCCUUGGUCCAGCGAAGAGACAGACAUGUUCUUCCUGGCUAUCAGCAUGGUGGGGACAGACUUCUCCAUGAUCUGUCAGCUCUUUCACAACAGAACGCGGUCGGAGAUAAGGAACAAGUUUAAGAAAGAGGAGAAACAGAAUUCCUGGAGAGUCGACAAAGCUUUUCGAGAGAGACGCAAACUGGACAUUGAGUAUUUUUCCAAGCUGCUAGAGAAGAUACUGGAAGUGCAGCAAAGCCGGAAGAAACUCAAGUCACUCGUGGUGAAGAACCCACCCAAGAAGAGCCAGGGGAAGUCAAAAGGCAGAAAGAGAAAGAAAGCUGCUGGCAAGCUCAGCGCCAGCGAGGAGGAAGACGAGGUGGAGGAGGACAGCCUCUUAUGCUCGGAGGCGGAGGACGGAGAGAAAGAGAACGAAGGAGGAACCCUGUCCUCUAAAGUCAAGAAGAAACUGAAAAGUAAGGUGGACGCCUCUGCUGCAAAGCCGGCAAAGAAGAAAAGUAAAACGAGUGAAAAGAGUAGCAAAGAAGGUGAAGAUGAGGCCUGCGUGCCCGAAGACACGGAAGCAGCCCUUCCUGAAGAUCAUCCUGACUCGGGAGUGUGUGAAAGUGCAGAGACGGAAAAAGCAUCCAACGGAGCCACGAUCAAACCCGCUAAGCUCCCGCGAGGUAGCGCGGCUAAAUCUGUGGGCCGAAAGUGCAGUAAAAAGCUCCCUCCCUCUCCUACCACGGCAGCCGAAGAUGGAGACGGGGAGUCCGCUAAACAGGGCGAGAGUGUGAAGGACGACGCCUCGAAAGACCAGGUCAACAAAGAGGCAUUACCUUCAAGAGAAGCCAGCGAUGAUGAUGUUGAUGACUCCUGUAGCGAUGAAGACUCUGGAGAUGAAGAUUACGCCGUUAAACCUGCGAAACCCACCAGAUCCGGGAGGAUCCCCAAACCUACUGCACUCUUAAGUUACCCUGCGCCCUCCACUCGGACCGCCCCCAAGAGGGACAGAACAACCAAGGCACCGCCUGCUGCCCCGUCGUCAAAAAAGCCCAAACUUGUUAUGCUGAGAGCGACUCAGUCCGAAUCAAGUGCGGAGGAGGAUGGGCAGGAGUUGGAGGAUGAAGAAAUGAAGGAGCUGUGGUGUGACGGCAGCACUCAGGCGUUUGUGCCCGCCAGCCUGCGCUCCCCCCACGCCGUCAUAUGCCAGGUCGAGGAAGCAGUAGAGGAGCUUGAUAUCUUGGCGGAUAUGUCUGUCUUGGACAUGUCCCAAGAUGAACUGUGCCUCAACUCUUCGUGCGAACGGGCCCAAUUUGAGACCGGAUCAAGAGAAACUUCUGCGCAUCAGCUAGACCUUCUGGUCGAUGUCAUAGACUUACUUUCUUCUGAGCACGCUGGAGUGUCUGAGGUGGAGAGCUACAAUGAGGCUGCUCAAACCCUGCUGGCUAUCGGCAAUGUCUCUCAUCCCUCGCAUUCAGACACCACGCAAGAUCAAAUCACAGGCGUACCGUCGGACAGUGGAAAUGAAACAAGUAGACGUUUGGAAGAGGAAAUUGUUGCGGAGUUCAUUGAAGAAAACACCUUCACACCAAUUAUGUCUGUACCUUCAGACCAGGAAGUCACGGAUGCAUUUGAAACUGCACCUGUUGGGCCAACAAACACAGAGUCCUCACCUCACAUUGGUGAGGAGACAUGCUGUGAACAGAGACACGUUUCAGAUCAUGACUUAACCCGACCGUUGCAAUCAAACACACGGACCAGAAUAGCUCGCUCAUCCAAGGUUAAACCAAAACCUAACUUGGCCAAGGCCUCAAGAGCUGCACAUUCCAGAACUCAACCAGAAACAUCUUCACAAGGGUCAACCAUGGAGAGCGAUAGUGUUGCUCCUGACCUGUCAAAAGACUUCUCUGAAGAACCGUCCUCAAAGAUAGCAAAAUGUAGUCAAUCUUCUGAAAAACAGACUUUUGACAUGGAUGCCAAGUCUACAAAUGCUGAAACAAGUGAAAGCACAGCAUUUGAUACUGCAGUCACAGAAACACUAGCUCAAGAGGCAGGUAGCGAUUAUGUUGCCAUACCAGUUGUACAUGAAGAUCAGAACUCUAGCGAACCCCCGUCAUCUCGACCCACCAGGACCACAACAAGUAAGGUAGAACCACAGCCAACUUGUACUUUCUCUCCUAAGAAAAUCAGUCCAAGUGCCAAUUCUUCUUCAUCGGAGACAACAACCAUGAGUUUGAGCUCUAAUCUGGUAGAGGAAGUAGCUUCUAGUGAGAUAGCAAAAUGUAGUCAAUCUUCUAAAAAACAGACUUUUGAAAUGGAUGCCAAGUCUACAAAUGCUGAAACAAGUGAAAGUGCAGCAUCUGAUGCUGCAGUCACAGAAACACUAGCUCAAGAGUCAGAUAGUGAUUAUGUUGCCAUACCAGUUGUACAUGAAGAUCAGAACUCUAGCGAACACUCGUCAACUCGACCCACCAGGAUCACAACAAGUAAGGUAGAACCACAGCCAACUUGUACUUUCUCUCCUAAGAAAAUCAGUCCAAGUGCCAAUUCUUCUUCAUCUGAGACAACAACCAUGAGUUUGAGCUCUAAUCUGGUAGAGGAAGUAGCUUCUAGUGAGAUAGCAAAAUGUAGUCAAUCUUCUAAAAAACAGACUUUUGAAAUGGAUGCCAAGUCUACAAAUGCUGAAACAAGUGAAAGUGCAGCAUCUGAUGCUGCAGUCACAGAAACACUAGCUCAAGAGUCAGAUAGCGAUUAUGUUGCCAUACCAGUUGUACAUGAAGAUCAGAACUCUAGUGAACACCUGUCAUCUCGACCCACCAGGAUAACAACAAGUAAGGUAGAACCACAGCCAACUUGUACUUUCUCUCCUAAGAAAAUCAGUCCAAGUGCCAAUUUUUCUUCAUCUGAGACAACAACCAUGAGUUUGAGCUCUAAUCUUGUAGAGGAACUGGCUUCUAGUGUAAUGAAGAAUACAUGUACAGGACUUGCUAAUCAACUCAGUAGUGAAUCAAAACCCACGGAUGCUGAAAAGAAAAAGGUUGAAUGUAGUCCAAAUGAAGCGGCAGCAUUUGAUGAUGCAGUCACAGAACCACUAACUCAAGAGUCAAACAUGCAUUUGAUCCAAAAAGGUGAAGAUAAUGGCGCCAUGAUAGAGGUACAUGAAGGUCUGGACUCUAGAGAACUCCAGUCAUCUCCACCCUUUAAGAGGACUCGAUUCCACCGAGUCAAACCAAAACCAAACCUUUCACAGAUAUCAAAAAGUGCACGUUCUAAACCUCAAACCACAAAAGAGACUAGUGAUUCUUCAAAGCUGGAAUCAACUUGGACGACAACAAGUAUGGUAAAACCGCAGCGAACUUGUACCUUCUCUCCUACGAAAACAAGUCCAAGUGCCAAUUCUGCUUCAUCUGUGACAACAACCAUGGACGUCGGCCCUAAUCUGGUACCUCCAGAAGAACUCACUUCUGGUGAGAUAGUGACAAGUACUGAACAUUAUGAACAGCUCAAUAUUGAAACAAAAUCCACAGAUGCUGAACAGAUUGAAUUUGGUUCAAAUGAAGAGGCAGCAGCUGAUGAUGCAGUCACAGAACCACUAGUUCAAGAGUCUAGCAUGCCUUUGAUCCAAAAAGGCGGAUUUAAUGACAACAUGCCAGAGGCACAUGAAGGUCAGGACUCUAGCGAACUCCAGUCAUCUCCACCCUUUAAGAGGAAUCGAUUACGCAUAGUCAAACCAAAACCAAACCUUUCACAGAUAUCAAAAAGUGCACGUUCUAAACCUCAAACCACAAGCGAGACUAGUGAUUCUUCAAAGCUGGAAUCAACUUGGACGACAACAAGUAUGGUAAAACCACAGCCAACUUGUACCUUCUCUGCUACAAAAACAAGUCCAAGUGCCAAUUCUACUUCAUCUGUGACAACAACCAUGGACGUCAGCUCUAAUCUGGUACCUACAGAAGAACUGGCUUCUGGUGAGAUAGUGAAAAGUACUGAACAUUAUGAACAGCUCAAUAUUGAAACAAAAUCCACAGAUGCUGAACAGAUUGAAUUUGGUUCAAAUGAAGAGGCAGCAGCUGAUGAUGCAGUCACAGAACCACUAGUUCAAGAGUCUAGCAUGCCUUUGAUCCAAAAAGGCGGAUUUAAUGACAACAUGCCAGAGGCACAUGAAGGUCAGGACUCUAGCGAACUCCAGUCAUCUCCACCCUUUAAGAGGAAUCGAUUACGCAUAGUCAAACCAAAACCAAACCUUUCACAGAUAUCAAAAAGUGCACGUUCUAAACCUCAAACCCCAAGCGAGACUAGUGAUUCUUCAAAGCUGGAAUCAACUUGGACGACAACAACUAUGGUAAAACCACAGCCAACUUGUACCUUCUCUGCUACAAAAACAAGUCCAAGUGCCAAUUCUACUUCAUCUGUGACAACAACCAUGGACGUCAGCUCUAAUCUGGUACCUACAGAAGAACUGGCUUCUGGUGAGAUAGUGAAAAGUACUGGAAAUGAUGAACAGCUCAAUAUUGAAACAAAAUCCACAGAUGCUGAACAGAUUGAAUUUGGUUCAAAUAAAGAGGCAGCAGCUGAUGAUGCAGCCACAGAACCACUAGCUCAAGAGUCUAGUAUGCCUUUGAACCAAAAAGGUGGAUUUAAUGACAACAUGCCAGAGGCAUAUGAAGGUCUGGACUGUAGAGAACUCCAGUCAUCUCCACCCUUUAAGAGGAAUCGAUUCCACCGAGUCAAACCAAAACCAAACCUUUCACAGAUAUCAAAAAGUGCACGGUCUAAACCUCAAGCCACAAAGGAAACUAGUGAUUCUUCAAAGCUGGAAUCAACUUCGGCGCCAACAAGUAUGGUAAAACCACAGCCAACGUGUACAUUCUCUCCUGAGGAAACAAGUCAAUGUGCCAGUUCUGCUUCAUCUGUGUUAACAACCAUGAACCUCAGCUCUAAUCUGGUACCUACAGAAGAACUGACUUUUAGUGAGAUAGAGACAAGUACUGGAUGUGAUGAUCAGCUCAGUAGUGAACCAAAAUCCACAGAUGCUGAAGAGAUUGAAUAUGGUGCAAACAAAGAGGCAGCAUCUGAUGAUGCAGUCACAGAACCACUAGCUCAAAAGUCAAGCAUGCCUUUGAUCCAAAAAUGUGGAUUUAAGGAUUCAAUGCCAGAGGUACAUGAAGGUCAGAACUCUAGCGAACUCCAGUCAUCUCCACUUUUAAAGAUAAAUCGAUUUCAACGAGUCAAACCAAAACCAAACCUUACACAGAUAUCAAAAAGAACACGGUCUGAACCUCAAGUCAUAGAAGAGACUAGUCAAUCUUCAAAGCUGGAAUCAACUUGGACGACAACAAGUAAGGUAGAACCACAGCCAACUUGUAUCUUCUCUCCAGAGAAAACAAGUCCAAGUGCCAAUUUUGCUUCAUCAGUGACAACAACCAUGAACUUGAGCUCUAAUCGGGUACCUACAGAGGAACUGGCUUCUAGUGGGAUGAAGAAUACAAGUACAAGACUUGCUAAUCAGCUCAGUAGUGAACCAAAACCCAUGGAUGCUGAAAAGAAAAAGGUUGAAUGUAGUCCAAAUAAAGAGGCAGCAUCUGAUGAUGCAGUCACAGAACAACUAGCUCAAGAGUCAAGCAUGCCUUUGGUACAAGAAUGUAAUAAUGACUCCAUGCCAGAGGUAGUUGAAGGUCAGAACUCUAGCGAACUCCAGUCAUCUCAACCCUUUAGAAAGAAUCGAUUCCACCGAUUCAAACCAAAACCAAAUCUUUCACACAUAUCAAAAAGUGCACGGUCUAAACCUCAAGCCACAAAUGAGACAAGUCAGUCUUCAAAACUGGAAUCAACUUGGACGACAACAAGUAACUUCCUUCCUGAGGAAGCAAGUCCAAGUGCAGAUUCUGCAUCAUUUGUUACAACAUCCAUGAACUUUAGCACUAUUCAGGUAUCUAAAGAGGAACUGUCUAGUGCGGUGAAGACAAGUACUGGACUUUCUAAUCAGCUCAGCAGUGAGCCAAAACCCACAGAUGGUGAAAAUAUUGAAUUUGGUCCUCAUAAAGCGGCAGCAUCUGGUGAUGCAGUCACAGAACUGCUAGCUCAGGAGUCAAAUACGUGUUCAAUCCAAGAAAGUGGAGGUCAUGACACCUUGCCAGAGGUUAAUGAAUGUCAGAGCUCUAGCGAACCCCCGCAAUUUCAGCCCACCAAGAGGAGUCGAUUCCAAAGGGUCAAACCAAAACCAAACCUUUCACAGAUAUCAAAAAGUGCACGGUCUAAACCUCAAAUCACAAAAGAAACAAUUAUGUCUACAAAUCUGGAAUGCACCGGCAAAAUAACAAGUAAAGUAGAAACACAACCAACUGGUACUUUCUCCCCAGAGAAACCAAGCCCAAAAGAUUCAGUUGUGACACCAUCCAUGGAUUCUAGCACCAGUCUGGUACCUAGAGAGGAACUGACUUCUAGUCAGGAGAAGAAGGCAGUUGAACUUGCUUACCAGGAAGAGUCUAGUUUACCAGUGGUGGAUGCGAGAAAAGAAAACACAGGAGUCAAAGAAGCAAUAUUUGGAGCUGCAAAUGAGACCGUGAGGUUUAAUGCAGAAGUAACUCAGAGUUCUUCUAAUAAUGUGGUACCAUCAGAUAUAAUCCCAGAAUGUCAAGUUGGAGUUGGAGCUAAUGCAAACAAGUCUACAAUUCACAAAGUUAGCAACCAUUUGGAAAAAGACUCAAAAUCCGAUUUAAAGUGUGAAUCUUCUCACGACCGAAGCGUUGAAGCUGCAUCACCAUCAACGUCUGAGACGAGUCAAAGUGUCACUUUGCCAUUGGAAAUAUGCCUUGCAUAUCAGCCUACAGAAGACUUGUCAUCGUCCAGAGAUAAAAACGAGGACGCUGACUCAGAGGCACCAAAACACACUACAGGAACAGAUCAAAGACAGCAAUGCCUCCCCAAAGUCAAACCCGCUUUGAGGUUCCCCGCUAGAGCGAUACGCUCAACAUCGCAGUCAAAAGAUGGUGGUGAAUCCUUUAAUAUAACCUCAGAUUGUCAAGUUGUAGAAAAAAAGAGUGCAGGCCCAUGUUUAGAAAUUGAUGAGAAAGUUGUCGUGGAAACUGAAGAAAAGAGCAAAGAAGAAGGCUACAAUGCUCCUUGUCAGGACAAAAUGGAGGAUAGGACCUACUUGAAAUCUGAUGACCAAAAUAUUGCUGCUGCCCCCUCAAACACACAGCUGCUUCGUCAAGAUACUGUCCCGGAACAUUCUAAAACUGUACAAACCAACCAAAUGAUGACAGAGACACAGCCCCUUCAAAGCGCUAACGAUCCGCCGUUGCCAAAAACCGCAACAACUAGAAGAAGCAGACUUGUUAAACCCAAACCCAACCUUGGAAAAAGUGGUCGGCAGGCCCGACUAGUGGCAGCCAAAGCAGAUUCAGAUGCUGUCAGAGCGCCUGGUUCUCAAGAGAUAUUGCCUGAGCCCGUGCAGCCAGUAGAGGGUGCUAUUGGGCUAUCGGCAAUGGAGUGUACCACCCAGGAUGAAUCCUCGUCAAGCACUGGACAGGAGCAGACUUUUGCAAGUCUCUCAAUACUUCAAGACGUAAUGUCAGUACCCUCGGAUCCUGACGAACCGUUUUUCAUCUUAUCCCUGACUGAGAUCCCAGUUGACACCAUCGAGGAGGUGUUGAACCCCACCGCCCAGCUGCCUCCUUUCAUCUGUGACCCAAAUCAGUCAAUGCAGCAAAGUCUUGCUGUGGAGAAUGUGAUAGCAGGGCCAGAUGGUUCCACGCCUGAUGUCCUUGUGUCCACCGAAGAGACGGCAACCACCAUGACUCCAGCCAUUGGGGAUCCUGUCGCCCCACCAGAGCGCCACCAAGGGUGUGUUUCAGCCGGACCAUCGAGCACAGCAAGUUCUCCCAAAAGCGGACUAGAGCCACAGACCCCAGACUCAACUUUGACUUGAUGAGUUGCGAGCUUGUCCCUCUUGAGGAGGCUAGAGCCUAUCCCAGCUGCACUUGGACGGAAGAAAGCUUGCUGAUACACGCCACGUCCACCAGGUGGUGCCAAACAACACACAAAGACCACAAUGGAAGAACAUCAGACAUCAGAGGAUGACAGUUUUACCUUGUUAAUGUUUUUAAAUGUCAUCAUCACUUUUGUUUAAUAAUCAUUGGUAUGAUUAGAUUUUUCUUCUGACCUUUGGAAAUGUUUAGAUCCUCCCCAAGUAUGUAAAGUACACGUUUUAUUUAUGUAUUUAUUGUGGCCCAUUCGUCUGCAAAGUUCCUUGGGUGAAUAAUGUCAACUCACUACACCGGUAUGUUUUAGUGCUUUCAUGGCGAGUUUACUGACAGAUAUAAGAACUUUACACUACUUUAUAUUAGAAAUGGCAACAGCGGAGGAUGAAUGUCACAUAACAAGAAGAUAGAGAAAAAGAAGAAGCUGAUCGACUACGGUGUCGGCACGGACUACAAUGGCGGACGCGCGCACAUUUUCAGGACUUAUGUAGAUCCGUAAUACAGAUCAGCAGGUACCAGAAGGUAAGAAAAGUUGCUUUUGCAUAAUAUUGUGAAACAAAACACCAGAUAAUAUGUCUGCUAAUGGCUGCCAUUUUGCGGUCCUUAUACACACACCAUAAUAAUACUUACAGUAUGUCGUAAUGGGCCGACAAUCCAUCAAGCGGCGCAGCUUCAAAGUCCUAUUAAAAACAUUUUGACAGAUUUUUGAGUGCCAUGUGUAAUGUUCUUUAUUUUUAAUGGAACAUGUAAAGUUUUGGUGUUGUUUACUGGCGUCAUAUUGCAGUCUAGACGUAUCUCUUAUAUGUGAGUGCCAUCUACUGGUCACACGUAUCAUUACACCAUGUACCAAAUAAAAUUGCUUUGAGGUCGGUAAGCACAACCAGAAUUAUUCCAUACAUUAAGCGCACCGGUUUAUAAGGCGCACUGCGCCUUAUAGUCCAGGGG